rnacentral:lncRNA from 1 species
GCUAUACAGAGAAAUCCUGUUUAAAAAAAAAAAGGAAAGAAGAAAGAAAGAAAGCCAAUCAUAUAUAUAUUCAGGAGUCCCCUACGCAUCCUGAACUCAAAGGUAUAAUAUCUUCUCAGAGGGCCUGGUGCAGACGUGUGUAUCCAUGUGCUUGCUGCUUCAGUCUUUCUGAGGUUAUAGGAGCUUUGCUCAGUUGAUUUAGAUGGCCUUGUUCUCCUGGUGGCCUUCAUCCCCUCUCGAUUCCCCAUUCUUUCUGUCUCCUCUUCCAUGGGGUUCCUUGAGUUUUUAAGGGAGGGAUUUGGUGGAGGCAUAAAAUAUCUUUUCCAUAAUAAAGAGGCUUCUCUUUUCUAUCCCUGUUACUGACUCCUUUGGCUGGCAAGGUCUUUGUCCUCAUUUUCAUCAUCCCUCAAGAAUGAUGUCAGGUUUCAAGCUCUGCCUUCCAGCCCCCAAUAUCCCUCUUAACUUCCACUGCCUUAUUUAUUUGUGUUGGGCUCUAAUCAAUUUCUAACUGGAACUACCACAGUAGUCCAUUGUUUACACACUGGCAGAUCUUAACAGCAGAUCCCAAACUCUUUUAGUUUUUAAUUUAAAAGCAUAUUUUACUUUCUGUGCAUGAACAUUUUACCUGUAUGAAUACCACAUGAAGUGCUCACACAGGCUGGAUUGUUGGAUACCCUGGAACAUGCUGUUGUGAGUCAGCAUGUGGGUACUAUGAAUGAAACUCACAUCCAUAGAAGAGUAGCCAGAAGUGUUAACCAUAGAGCAAACCAUGCAGCCAUCCUACACUGUUCCUGAAUAAUUUUUUUUUCUUGUACUGAUCCGAUUGUAUGACUCUUUAAACAAAAGUUGCAAUUCCGAGAUACUCAAAUCCAAAUGAGUGGACAUGAGUCUCAUCCUUCAUUUCAUGAUAUUUUGUUCACAUUUCAAUGCAAAAUUAAUCUCUUAUAAGUUUACUUUAGAUUACCUGUAUUAACUCUGCAUAUUAACGGGACACGCACUGCUGUCCUACACAUGUGCAUAGUGAAUUGAUGAGAGCCAUACUUCCUUUGUUCCUUUCUUAACACCAGAUCCAUAACCUUUUUGUCUUUUGCACAUGAGAGAGAAUGGUGGCAGUUUUUCUAUUCUUUAAUCUGUCUUUAUAUAUUGUCUUUGAAUUCCAUAUAUAUUCCUCUUUUUGGUGCCAUAAUAUUUUAUUAUUUAUGGAUGUUGUAUCUUGUUUUAUCCAUUGAUAAAUUUAUGGUCACCAAGAAAAACAUUUAUUUCUUUGGCAUGAUGGGUUCAUUUCUUCUGCGUAGGAUUGCUGAAUUAUACGGGAUAUUUUUAUUUAUUUUUUUUGAGAAACUGCAAUAUAUUUCUCUGUAUUGGACAUAUUAAUUUACACCUCUACCAGUUUGUUUGUUUGUUUGUUUGUUUGUGGUCUGUUUAGCUUUAAAUGUUGCCAUAUUCCAAAAAUAAUCCUCCCC